rnacentral:misc_RNA from 1 species
UUUAGUAAUUAGCUGUUGAUAUAAACCUCAUUGCUUAACAUACAGCAAGGCCUCCUUCCUUUAAAAAAAAUACAGUAAGACUGAAAAUUAUGUAACUAAUUCGUAUCAGAAAAGUUGCAAAUAGUUACAUGCAUUUGCCAGUGAACUGCAUAGAACUAUUUGAAUGCAUUCAUUUCUUUUUCCCAUUUUCCCUAUAUAUUAUGAGCGAUGAAAAUUUAUAUCAACAGCUAAUUACUAAAUAUGUAGCCAUGAGGAGUUCCCUGAGAAUCAACAAUGAACCAUCCCUAAAGGGUUGCCAUUAAUGGACUCACCUAGACUGGAAAGGACCAGCAUUCACUGGCUUCUGGAAGACUCUCAUCACUGGCAUUCCAUCUCCAUCAUUGUUUCCAAUCCUCCAAGACCGAUCCUUUUUCCUCUGAGGCUUUUUAUGGUGCUUAUGUGAUGCAUUUGGCUUCUUGACAGUAGCCUUCUCGGAUGCAAGUCCAUUGGAAAUGUCAAAUGAAUUUAGAUCAUCAAGUACAUGUUCAAUAAUAGGCGCAUUUUCACUUUCAAUAUCUGGAGUGUUUUCGAUGUCAGAUGAAUCUGUGUCGUGCAUCUCGGACAAGCUAGGUUCUUCAUUAUUUUCAUUGUUUGCUUUCUCUUCAGACAUUCCAGGUGGCAUCUCAAAGUGAGGUAGCUUGCCAUCUAAGUAAUCCUUCAAAAUUUGACGUGCAGCUCUAGUUUCAUCAGGCAGUCCACUAGAUGCAACAUACCCACGAGAUGCACAAUAAGCCCUUAAAAAUUCUGAUGCCAAAGGAGGCCGAGAUUGAGGCUCAUAUGGCUUAGGCUUUGGCAAAUUUAUCUUGUACACAUCCUCGAUGACAUGCCUUGGGACUUUAUUAGCCACAACCUGCACAGCCUCCCUGUGCUCGGUCAUUCGAUCAAUUGGUAACACCCCUGAAGCAAUCAUCUCGUAUCUUGAGCUUGAGAAGGAAGGGAACACUAAUCCAGGGCAGUCACACAAGGUCAACUCCUCAGAUAUUUUCAGUGUUUGGAAAUGCUUAGUCUUCCCUGGUGUAGAGGUCACUCCAGUGCGCUUCUGGCCUACCAAAGCAUUGAUUGUGGAGCUUUUGCCCACAUUAGGAUAUCCAACGAAUCCUACCACCACAUUCUUAGGAGCUGAACUUCCAACAUCAUUUCCUUCCAGAGACUGAUCACUCGAUGGGCUGGUGGUACUGGAGCUUGAUUUCCUACUCAUCUUGACUAUCUCUUGCGCCUCUAGCUGUAAACGAGAUAAAACUUCAUCCCUGUCAUAUAUUUUUGUAUGAGGGUCAUCCAUCUCUUCAAGGGUAGCUUGUCCCUUCCAUGGUUCUUUGAGCUUUUUCCCCUCAAGAGCUGCAGAAGCAGCCUUAGCCGACCAGAACAUAAAUAGUAUAUCACAAUGGCAAAAAUAUUCUGCCCAUUUCUGCCUGACUGAAUAGGGUAAA